CCUAGCUUGCUAGGUGGAUUAGUGGCGCACGGGUGAGUAAUAUAUAGAUAACGUGCCUCUUAGUCUGGGAUAGCCAUUGGAAACGAUGAUUAAUACUAGAUACUCCUUCUAACUCUAAUGUUAGUCGGGAAAGUUUUUCGCUAAGAGAUCGGUCUAUAUCCCAUCAGCUAGUUGGUAGUGUAAGAGACUACCAAGGCAAUGACGGGUAGCGGGUUUGAGAGGAUGAUCCGCCACACUGGUACUGAGACACGGACCAGACUCCUACGGGAGGCAGCAGUGAGGAAUAUUGCACAAUGGAGGAAACUCUGAUGCAGCAACGCCGCGUGGAGGAUGAUGCAUUUCGGUGUGUAAACUCCUUUUAUAUGUCAAGAAAAUGACGGUAGCAUAUGAAUAAGCACCGGCUAACUCCGUGCCAGCAGCCGCGGUAAUACGGAGGGUGCAAGCGUUAUUCGGAAUCACUGGGCGUAAAGGACGCGUAGGCGGGAUGC
rnacentral:rRNA from 1 species